AGGAUGAAUACCAGACAACUACUAAGAGUUAUGAAGGACAGUUAAGUAUGAUGAGUGAACAUUUAGCAGGCCUGAACGAAAAAUUAACACAACAAAAAGAUGAAAUUGAUGAACUAAGAGCUCAAGCGUCUUCCAAGGUAUGUAAUAUAUAUAUAUAUAUAUAUAUUUUUCUUCAUAAGUGGUAGCUAUAUCAUUUUAUUCACAUUUAACUCUGUUACUCUGGUAACUAGUUGUCUCAUUGACAAUGAUACCACAUAUACUCAUUUACAUAUGAGGGGGGGGGGAGGGUAGGAGGGGUCCUGAUCCUGAAAUUAAAUAAAUUUAAAUUCCUACAUCCCAAAAUUCGAAAAAAGAAUUCCUGGAUCCUGAAAGGGUCAAUCCGAGCUUAAAAACAUCCAAUCCCAUGAGUCCUGAUAAAGGUCCUAUCCCCCCACACAUAUGUCCAGGUGAUUUUAAUUACAAUAAUCUAUUCUUAAAUGGACCAUGAGUUACUCCUCUUGUCAGCUCAGUUUAAUAGUUCAUAUGUAACCAAGUCUUCAUUGAAAUAAUUGUAUGCUGUCUGAAUGAAUAUUUGAUAGGCUUUAUGAGAUGGAAUUCAAGACAACAAUGGUAACAAAUAUUCCACCAAAUUCACUUCAUUAUACCCCUGCUCCAAAGAAGGGAAGUUUACUUGUUUACAUAUGACUUUAUUUCUGCUAGUACUUCUUGUUACAUAAAUUAUGGUCACAUGUUUCUCAAGAAUUACAUGUUGAGCUUACUGAAAUUUUGUAUGAAGCUUCAUGUGAACUUGAGUUAUCUUGUGAUGCAUUUUAAGAUUCAUCACUGAUAUACUUCCUGUUCAACACUUUUAUAUAUUCUUACACAGAAUUGCCAUGUAUGAAAUUUACGUAACAUUUUUCUGAGAAUCUACAAAUCAAGGCUUCUUGAUAUUUAAAAACAAUCUAAAUGUGAGCAUGCUUUAAUAGCUGACAAUGCGGUAUGGGUUUGCUCAUUGUUGAAAUCCGUAUGGUGACCUAUAGUUGUUUAAUUUCUGUGUCAUUUGGUCUCUUGUGGAGAGUUGUCUCAUUGACAAUCAUACCACAUCUUCUUUUUUAUAUUCACUUUUUUCUGAAAUUCUACAAAUAUUAAUGAUAUUUAGAAACCAAGCUUGACAUGAGCAUGCUAUUCUGUGUGAUACAUUUUUCACUCGUCAAACUUCUGUCAAUUUAUUAGGGGUACCUUUAGUGAGCUAUUGCUUUUAGUUCAACUUGGUUUUCUUUUGUAUUUCAGAGUGGUAAAAAGUUCAGAAGAUAACAGUAACAAAGACUUUAGUGUUUAAAGUUGAAUUUUGGCUUGAUACUGGUGAUAAAAAACAGAAACUCCAUUGUUCUGCCUCAAUCGUUGUGACAAGAGUGAUGUACUACUCACUGUUUACCAAAGUACAGCAAUUGCAGAUGUUUAAAAUUGUAAUGCUGAGCAAUUUAUGGCAUAAAAGAAGCAAUCUUUUAUGUAUAAUUAAUAAAACUGUUGAUAAACAAUUAAUUUGUAACUAUUAAACAGCUAUAUAUUGGAAACUUUGAUGCAGUUACACUACAACUUUGUUAUAUUGUAACUGUGGAACUUUUCACACAAAUUGAAUUCAUGUAUUAUUCUGUGGUACGAAUUGUCCUAGAUUGAGGAAAAUUUGCAGCUUUCUUAAUAAUAGUUUUCGUGACAUUGACAAAUUGUCCUCACAAGCCUGUAGGAAAAUUCAAUUUUGUUAAACACUUGAAAUUGUAGUUUAACUUUUCCCAAGAAAUCCACAAAUAAUACUGGAAUCCAUAGUACAUGAAUACUUAUUUCAUGUUUGCAAAAAUAACCUAUUACAGGGUAAAAGUAUUGUACUGUAAAUGCAGAAUUAUUAUGCCCCACCUACGAUAGUAAAGGGGCAUUAUGUUUUCUGGUCUGUGGCUCCGUUCGUUUGUUCGUCCGUUCGUUUGUCCCGCUUCAGGUUAAAGUUUUUGGUCAAGGUAGUUUUUGAUGAAGCUGAAGUCCAAUCAACUUGAAAGGUAGUACACUUGUUGCUUAUGAUAUGAUCUUUCUAAUUUUUAUUUCAAAUUAAAGUUUUGACCCCAAUUUCACGGUCCACUGAACAUGGAAAAUGAUAAUGCGAGUGGGGC
rnacentral:lncRNA from 1 species